UAAGGAAUAUUGCUCAAUGGGAGAAAUCCUGAAGCAGCAACGCCGCGUGGAGGAUGAAGGGUCUAUGACUUGUAAACUCCUGUAAAGAAGGAAAAAAUUCCCAUUAGAUGGGAGAUGAUGGUACUUCUGGAGUAAGCCCCGGCUAACUACGUGCCAGCAGCCGCGGUAAUACGUAGGGGGCAAGCGUUGUCCGGAUUUACUGGGUGUAAAGGGUGCUCAGGCGGAUUUGUAAGUCAGAGGUGAAAUCUUACAGCUUAACUGUGAAACUGCCUUUGAUACUGCAAGCCUAGAGUAUGGAAGAGAGUGAUGGUAUAUCUGGUGUAGCAGUGAAAUGCGUAGAUAUCAGAUAGAACACCAAUGGCGAAGGCAGUCACUUGGUCCAUUGCUGACGCUAAAGCACGAAAGCGUGGGUAGCAAACA
rnacentral:rRNA from 1 species